AAUAUUGGUCAAUGGACGCAAGUCUGAACCAGCCACGUCGCGUGAAGGCAGACGGCCCUACGUGUUGUAAACUUCUUUUGUAAGGGAAUAAAGUGAGUCACGUGUGACUUUUUGUAUGUACCUUACGAAUAAGGAUCGGCUAACUCCGUGCAAGCAGCCGCUGUAAUACGGAGGAUCCGAGCGUUUUCCGGAUUUAUUGGGUUUAAAGGGUGCGCAGGCGGGAGAUUAAGUCGGCGGUAAAAUUUUGCAGCUCAACUGUAAAAGUGCCUUCGAAACUGGUUUCCUUGAGUGUAGAUGAAGUAGGCGGAAUUUGUGGUGUAGCGGUGAAAUGCAUAGAUAUCACGAGGAACUCCGAUUGCGCAGGCAGCUUACUAAGCUACUACUGACGCUCAGGCACGAAAGCGUGGGUAGCAAACAGG
rnacentral:rRNA from 1 species